rnacentral:rRNA from 1 species
CCUACGGGCGGCUGCAGUGGGGAAUAUUGCGCAAUGGACGAAAGUCUGACGCAGCGACGCCGCGUGUGGGAUGAAGCUCUUCGGGGUGUAAACCACUGUUGCCCGGGACGAAACCCUCCUUUCGAGGAGAUUGACGGUACCGGGUGAGGAAGCACCGGCUAACUCUGUGCCAGCAGCCGCGGUAAUACAGAGGGUGCGAGCGUUGUCCGGAAUCACUGGGCGUAAAGGGCGCGUAGGUGGCUUGGUAAGCGUGUGGUGAAAGUCCGGGGCUCAACCCCGGAUCUGCCGUGCGAACUGCUGAGCUUGAGCAUUGUAGAGGCAGGUGGAAUUCCGGGUGUAGCGGUGGAAUGCGUAGAGAUCCGGAAGAACACCAGUGGCGAAGGCGGCCUGCUGGGCAAUAGCUGACACUGAGGCGCGACAGCGUGGGGAGCAAACAGGAUUAGAUACCCCAGUAGUC